AGAGUUUGAUCCUGGCUCAGAUUGAACGCUGGCGGCAUGCUUUACACAUGCAAGUCGAACGGCAGCGGGGGCUUCGGCCUGCCGGCGAGUGGCGAACGGGUGAGUAAUGCAUCGGAACGUACCCAGUCGUGGGGGAUAACUACGCGAAAGCGUGGCUAAUACCGCAUACGCCCUGAGGGGGAAAGCGGGGGACCUUCGGGCCUCGCGCGAUUGGAGCGGCUGAUGUCGGAUUAGCUAGUUGGUGGGGUAAAGGCCUACCAAGGCGACGAUCCGUAGCUGGUCUGAGAGGAUGAUCAGCCACACUGGGACUGAGACACGGCCCAGACUCCUACGGGAGGCAGCAGUGGGGAAUUUUGGACAAUGGGCGAAAGCCUGAUCCAGCCAUGCCGCGUGAGUGAAGAAGGCCUUCGGGUUGUAAAGCUCUUUCAGACGGAAAGAAAUCGGGCGAGCCAAUACCUCGCCUGGAUGACGGUACUGUCAGAAGAAGCACCGGCUAACUACGUGCCAGCAGCCGCGGUAAUACGUAGGGUGCGAGCGUUAAUCGGAAUUACUGGGCGUAAAGCGUGCGCAGGCGGUUGUGUAAGACAGGUGUGAAAUCCCCGGGCUUAACCUGNGAACUGCGCUUGUGACUGCACGGCUAGAGUACGGCAGAGGGGGGUGGAAUUCCACGUGUA
rnacentral:rRNA from 1 species